rnacentral:rRNA from 1 species
CACGGGGGGAGCAAGCGUUGUUCGGAAUCACUGGGCGUAAAGGGCGUGUAGGCGGUCAAGUAAGUGGAAUGUGAAAUCCCUCGGCUUACCCGAGGACCUGCAUCCCAAACUGCUUGGCUUGAGUACGGGAGAGGAUGAGGGAAUUCCUGGUGUAGCGGUGAAAUGCGUAGAUAUCAGGAGGAACACCGGUGGCGAAGGCGCUCAUCUGGCCCGAUACUGACGCUGAGACGCGAAAGCGUGGGGAGCGAACAGG